rnacentral:piRNA from 1 species
UCCUGGUGCUAGGAACUGAAUGGUUU